AGAAAAAAAGAGAUCUUCUGUGUGCUUGUGCUUGAAAUAUAAAAAACACCAUUGUUUCUGUGUUCUCAAAUGUGACCGUGACACCAACCCCUGAAGAUCAUCCGCUCACCAGAGUCAAAUGACUCCGAUGGCUGGCAUGGGUCACAAAGGCUGUGCUGUCUAUUUUAGAAUUGUCUAUAUAGGAUUGUCAUUUUGAGGACACCUGGUGGUUGCCUGUGUGCAAUUGCAGUUCAGUUCCUCACAGGAAUGAAACAGGAAGUGGUGCCUUUGUUAAUAAAGUUUCUUAUUCAACAACAUAAAGUUUUUACCUCAGAAGCCAUUUGGUCCUGAUGCAGACAAGGGAAGGGUUUCAAAUGUGGCUCUAGAUACACAAAUGUCUGUACCUUGCAACCGGACAUUCGUUUGCUAGUCUACAUUUUGAAUUUAUGGUGGGCAAGUCCACGGUCGGCACCAUUGUACAUGACACAUGUCUGGUUUUAAGGGAGGUGCUGAAAGAUGUAGUCAUGAGGAAGCCUACAAAAGAAAUUUGGUCCAACAUUGCCCAAGUCUUUUGGAAAAAUUGCAGUUUUCCGAACUGUGUCGGAGCAAUCGAUGGCAAACAUGUAAGAAUUGUGAUGCCAGUGGCUACUGGCAGUAGAUAUUUUAAUUUAUAAGAUUUUUUUUUUCUUUUUGUUCUAAUGGCAGUGGCAGAUGCUAACUACUGCUUCACAUAUAUUGAUGUGGGCUCAUAUAGGAGCAGUACUGACUCGCGUAUCUUUAUGCACUCAUCCUUUGGGCAAAUGUUGCAUAACAAUGAGUUGGACCUCCCUGAAAAUUUGCCAUUACCUGGAACAAAUGGACCUCCUCUCCCAUAUGUAUUUGUAGGAGAUGAGGCGUUUUCCCUGGGCGAACACCUGAGGAGGCCAUUUUCCAAUCGAAAUCUCAAUGUUGACAAGCGGCUAUUCAAUUAUCGUUUAAACAGGGCCAGAAGGGUGGUGGAAUGUAGUUUUGGCAUUUUGGCCAAUAAGUGGCGCUUGCUGCAUACACCAAUACAUUUUAAUAUGGAGAAUGCCGUGUCUGCGGUGAAAGCCACGCAUGUCCUCCACAAUUUUGUAAGGCAACGUGAUGGUAAUCAAUUUGAGGAAGGUAUCAUGCACGAUUUGCAAAGUGCACAGUGGGCUGGAAGCAGGGGCUCCACCACUGGUGCAAAUAUCAGAGAAAAGUUUAAGGACUUCUUCAUGUCACCAGCGGGGGAAGUAUCAUGGCAGCUUCAAGCAAUCUCAUAAUCAUACUCUACAUACAGAUCUGUGCUUUGCUUUUAUUUUUUAAGUUGUGUAUAUAUUGUAUUGUUUCAAUAAAACCACCAGUAUCUUCA